UACAGAGGUCCCGAGCGUUAGGCGGAAUCACUGGGCUUAAAGCGUGUGUAGGUGGAUCGUUAAGUACCUUGUGAAAUCCCACGGCUUAACCGUGGAACUGCUUGUAUACUGGCGGUCUUGAGCCAGCUAGGGGCUACCGGAACAAAUGGUGGAGCGGUGAAAUGCGUAGAUAUCAUUUGGAACGCCAAUGGUGAAAACAGGUAGCUGGGGCUGUGCUGAUACUGAGACACGAAAGCCAGGGGAGCAAACGGG
rnacentral:rRNA from 1 species